GAUGAAGAACGUAGCGAAAUGCGAUACUUGGUGUGAAUUGCAGAAUCCCGUGAACCAUCGAGUCUUUGAACGCAAGUUGCGCCUCAAGCCAUUAGGUUGAGGGCACGUCUGCCUGGGCGUCACAUAUCGUUGCCUGAUGCCAGUUUCCUCGUGAUGGGUGACUGUGCAGGGCGAAUGAUGGCUUCCCGUGAGCAUUGUUGCCUCAUGGUUGGUUGAAAAUUGAGUCCUUGGUAGGGAGCGCCGUGAUAGAUGGUGGUUGAGUGACGAACGAGACCCAAUCAUGUGAGACCCCUACCGAAUUUGGCCUUCAUGACCCACAUGCGUCUUUGGAACGCUCAUGACGAGACCUCAGGUCAGGCGGGGCUACCCGCUGAGUUUAAGCAUCUCAAUAAGCGGAGGA
rnacentral:misc_RNA from 1 species